rnacentral:misc_RNA from 1 species
CUUGGGAUUGGUAGGGGGGUGUCUUCAUGCUUCCACUGCCUUGCUCAUCUACCCUCCUUCACCCCCCUCCCUCCCCCGUGAAUAGGAUUGCGCUGCUGUUCGCUGUGUUGCAUGAUGCGGUUUGUGUCCCGGCUCUCACGAACAAUCCCGCCCGGAGUUUACCAUACUUGAUCUCUUGCGCGGACCUACGGGUGCCCAGAUGCGUGGCGUGUGGUAGGCGGCGCGUACGUGCGCGCGCUGCAACUGCGCCAAAGGGGUCAUUGUCAAAUUCCUUGCAGCGGCUGGUGCGAGAUGGUAGGAGGGGGAACUUUCUCUCCUCUGCCCUAUCAUCCCUGUUGGUGCCGUGCCAGGACCGUAUGACUCCAAGAGCUGUUUGCCGUUGUGCGUGUGCGCGUGGGUGAGCGAGAGACGACGACGACAACUGAACCUCAUUUGCAAUACACAGUUGGUGAGAGCCUUUCUUUCGAUGAUGAUGCACGAGUUAAUCCAUUCUCUGAGUCUCUGUGUGCGUGUGUAUGUGCGCAGGUGCACUGCCGAACUGCGGCGUGACGGGUGCUAGACAUGCGGGGGCUGCUGUGUCGAGGAGCAUGAGCAGUGUGCAGCCGCAAGCAAAGGAGCACGGGGGGACUCCAAACACCGUCUAUUCCCCUGCGUGAUGGAACUGUGACGAGACGGCAUGUGAUGCAACGCCUCCAACGCUGGACCGCACUGCUUGCUGUUUGCACGGGAAGGGGCGGGUGCUGCGGCAUCGUGUGUGUUGGCGUCUGGCACCUGGCGGUGGCUGGAUCGCCAUGUCACCGCACGGGAGAGCUGCCUAUCGGCAUCGCUCAUCCUUGCAGCGCACACGCCUUUGCCCUCACCCUGCUGCCGAGAUGUGGGGCACUGUGAAGACGGUGGAGAACAAAGCACAGCCAUCGGACACAGGGAGGCUGCGCUCGGUGCCUUCCUGUGAUGAAGUCAGGCCGGCGAGAAUGUCGAGAGCCCAGCGCAACGCGCGUCCAUCCCUCCUUGCCGCUCUCCGCGUGUGCCGCAGCUGUGGCGGCGGCAGAGGGAAGGGAGGCAGGCGCGGUGGUGGGGUCUGCAGCUCGUCGUCUUUUCGCGGCGUGUGUGUGUGUGUGUGUGCGACACUUAGCCGCAAACAAAGGAACACGGGGGGACUCCAAACACCGUCUAUUCCCCUGCGUGAUGGAACUGUGGCGAGACGGUGCGUGCGGCGCCGGGCCAGCGUGCUGCCCGCGUGUGUCAGUGUUGUUUUUGUGCGGUGAGCAAAGGGGCUUGGGAUUGGUAGGGGGGUGUCUUCAUGCUUCCACUGCCUUGCUCAUCUACCCUCCUUCACCCCCCUCCCUCCCCCGUGAAUAGGAUUGCGCUGCUGUUCGCUGUGUUGCAUGAUGCGGUUUGUGUCCCGGCUCUCACGAACAAUCCCGCCCGGAGUUUACCAUACUUGAUCUCUUGCGCGGACCUACGGGUGCCCAGAUGCGUGGCGUGUGGUAGGCGGCGCGUACGUGCGCGCGCUGCAACUGCGCCAAAGGGGUCAUUGUCAAAUUCCUUGCAGCGGCUGGUGCGAGAUGGUAGGAGGGGGAACUUUCUCUCCUCUGCCCUAUCAUCCCUGUUGGUGCCGUGCCAGGACCGUAUGACUCCAAGAGCUGUUUGCCGUUGUGCGUGUGCGCGUGGGUGAGCGAGAGACGACGACGACAACUGAACCUCAUUU